AUAAACAAUAACCAUUUCAAUUUCAGGUUCAAAUCCGAUUUUGAUUUUAAUUUCUAAUUUACCUCUUAAAUUAAAUUCAAACUAAAAACAACCACAACCACCACCGUGACUGCCGCCACCACCACCAUUGACCGUUUCCACCACCGUGAUAACCCACCACCACCACUCCCUUUGCCGCCCUCUCUCUCCCUCCUCCUCAAUCGACCACCGCACACCCUUCGUCGCUCUCCCUCCUCCACGCACAGCCUCCCCUGUCUCCCUCCUCAAUUGACUCCCCUGCCAUCUCUCCUCCGCGCUCAGCCACCGCGCCGCCGUUCUGGUGUGUCGCCUCCUCCGCGCAGCCCUCCUCUAGUCACGGACCACCGCCCAACUUCCUCCCUUUUCUUCUUCCUCCUUCGUGCACCUGCUGCUCUUUUGCUGGUGUUCCAGUAAAUUGAAAGUUUCAGUUGGAAACUUUGAGAAAUCGAACUCGGAGCUCAGGAAGAACGAACCAACGAAAAGGCUUAGCAAAUCGUGGAAUUGAGGUACUGCUGGGGACCACGGAAACGAGUAGUGGCGAAGAUUUCACUAUUAUCAAGUUCACUUAAGUUAAUGUUAAGUUGUAACAAGUUUAAGUAAAGAUUCUUGAUUAAGUUACGUACUUUUAUUAAGUAAUUGAGAAGGAUGAUUAUGUUAAUUUUGGAGUUUAAUAGCUUAAGAUUGAUAGUUGCCUUGUAAUUCCCAAGAGGGAGUUACGGAAGGUAAUGUCUCGACCAAAUUAGGUUAAUUCCGCUGCUAAUUAUGACCUCUAAUUGAAUUAGAGGUCGGGGCGUUACAUAUAGGGAUGUCAGAUUGUUAGUGGGCAGGCUUUUUAGGAGAUCUGCUUGUGCAUCCGCCCCAAGCGGGCGGCGAUGGACGAAAGUUUAUUGGGUAAUGGGGUCAAAAAUGUAUUUGUCGCUGGUGAA